rnacentral:rRNA from 1 species
GCAGUAGCCACGGGAAUACGUAGGUGGCAAGCGUUGUCCGGAAUUAUUGGGCGUAAAGGGCCGCAGGCGGUUUCUUAAGUCUGAUGUGAAAGCCCCCGGCUCAACCGGGGAGGGUCAUUGGAAACUGGGAAACUUGAGUGCAGAAGAGGAGAGUGGAAUUCCACGUGUAGCGGUGAAAUGCGUAGAGAUGUGGAGGAACACCAGUGGCGAAGGCGACUCUCUGGUCUGUAACUGACGCUGAGGAGCGAAAGCGUGGGGAGCGAACAGGAUUAGAUACCCCUGUAGUCCCUGUCUCUUAUACA